UAUAGAUUUGCAUUUAAACUAUUUUGAAAUACAAAAUUCCUUUUUUGGGGGGGGGGGGGGAAGGGGGAGGGUAACGGAGUUUCCCUGUGUAGCCCUGGCUGUCCUGGAACUCACUCUGUAGACAAGGCUGGCAUCGAACUCAGAGACCCACCUGCCUUGGACUCCCUAAGUGCUAGGAUUAAAGGCAUGUGCCACCACCGCCCAGCAGGAAGUACAAAAUAUUUAAUUUGUGAAGAAGACUGCAAAUAUCUUUCCCUUAAACUACACAACACUAUUCUAGAAUCAAUCCAUUCAGAGUCUAAACUGGAUUAUUAUACAAGGCAGGCAUUAAGUAUACAUGAUACUAAUGUUUCAAUUAUACUUCCUUAGGGAAACAAAUUAAGUAAAAGCUCCAACAAGAGGGAGGCCUACAACAGGACACUACAGGACCCCAAACACAAGUAUUUCUUCAGGAUGAAGUCUGCACUUCAGCAGCUGAGGCGGGAGGAGGAGCAAGCACACGUUCACAGCCAGCCUGGGAUAUCUAGUGAGUACAGUACCAUCAACAAAAAACAGUCACCACCUCUUGCUUGUGACAAGGACAUCCAUCAUGUUUGACAUCAAUAUAUUGAUGGCAAGAGUAUCUUCUACACAAAUGAAAGGGUUCUGAAGAAAGGGAGGAAAAGCUCACAAUAUGAACUGGGAUGUAUUUGUUGAUGAAAAUAAUUAAAAAAUAAAAUGAACACACGAAGCAAUCAAACCGCUCCCCGUUAGGAGUAUCUCUAAAGCGCAGGUAUGAAGGCUGUCUUUGCAAACAUGAGAGCCCUUCUCAAGUGUAAAAGGAAAAACAAACAAUCUCUCAAAUGGACUACAGUCUAACAUUUGAAGGUAAAAGAUUCAUUUACAACAUUCAGUACCACUGUUCUUGUUUACUAACACGAACUAACAAGUAAAGGAUGUUAGUAAACAAUCAGUCAUCUGUGUAACAGGAGCAACCCACAGACCAGGAGGAUCCACAAAGUUCACACACAACUGUAAUUCUACCUAUAAAAAUCUAAAAGAUAUGCAAUUAAGAGCAAGCUUUGUUGCCACCAGCUGUAUUUGUUAACCCUGUCUUUAUUAUUUGAUGUACAGGCCACUAUUUGUAACUGAAGAAUAAGUAUUUCCUAUCCUUGUUUUCCAAUCCAUUUCGACUGUAUCAGAGACAGAUACAACUAUUCUUUUGAAACCAGGUAUUUCCUCAGAAACUUACAGCACAAUUCCUGUCUAGAAUUCCUACCAAUAUCUAUUUAAUGAUAAUAUAACAGUGUAAUUAGAAAAAAAAAUCACUCGCACAUAGUUAGUAGUAAUGUUUUUAAGAUUGCUGCCUGUGUCUUAAGCUCCCCUCUUUAGUCUCUAUUUAGGGCUCAGAAGCCAUUAGACCUAACCCAGGAUCCACAUAUGCUCACGUACAGAGCACCACCAGUUAAUGACUUACGGUACAAAGAUGUUUCCAAGGCUACAGAGAUGGCUCUCAGGUCAAGAGCACAGGUUGCUCUUCCAGAGAACUAAGCACCCCAGCGCCCACAUGGAAGCUCACAACCUCCAAUUCCAGGUCCAGAGGAUCCAAUGCUAUUUCCUGGCCUCCACAGGAACCAGACACACACAUAGUGCACCAAAAUCCAGGCAGGAAAACACCCAUACACAUAAAAGUAAAUAAGUAUUUUUUCCCUAAAGAUAUUUCUUCUCCAAUGUGUAAGAGAAAUCUUUCCUAUGGACUUUAUUAAAGGGUAUCAGAAUGAACAAUAGAAAUAUCACACCACUGAUGAAACUUUUUGACACAUUUUCUUCAACCAUUUAUUUACUUUUAAAUUGAUUGCACUAGAUGCUAUCUGUUUCUAUUCUUUUUACUAGGAAUUUUAACCAAUAUGCUUUUAACUACAGAUGAUGGUAACGGUUUAGAAUGUGAAACUCUAUAAUAUUGAUUGUAAAAAUUGUGAAUAUUUUUAAGAACACUUGAAAGCAAUUCUUAAUUAUGUGAUACUAAAACAGGUAUUUUUGAAUUUUUUUAAAAAAUGAAUUUUAUAAAGGCUUUUGAUAGUAUAAAUCUUCUUUACUGGGCCAAACAAGAUGGUACUAAACUUCCUUUAGGAAUUUAACAAUAGUAUUUGCUUAAAAUAAGCAUCAUCCUUUAAUUGUAAAUAUCUUAUUGACAAUUUACCUAAAAUGUGUUGGUUUGAAAUUAAGAUCUGUUACCAAAAAUUAUCUAACAACACUGCUUCCUUUAUACAGGAAGAACCUUUAAGACCUUUGUUUUUAUUAACAAAUUCAAAACACCUGACUAGUGAAGAAAACUGGGAAGGAAGAAAAUGAGACACACAUAAAUACAUGCUAACCUUUGAUUUCUCACAUGCCAACACCAUAAAUGUAUUUUUGGAUACAGAGAUUAAUUCAGAUUGUAGGUGAGUCACAGAUUAUAUACAUCAAUAAAUAUAUUGUAAAUAUACUCAAAUUUGUUGACAAUUUCAGCUCAUAAAGUAAAUUUAUGUAAAAAUUAUUUGGGAAAGGCAGCCAAAUUCCAACUAAAAAGGCAGAAGAUAUGAAGAUAUGCCAAAACACUAAGUAAAGCAAAAAUACUGUAGCUGUCUAUAGAAUGUACUAAGAAACAUUCUACGUGUAUAGGUAUUUAAAAUAUAUUAAUUAUAAAACAUAUUUUCAUUUUAAUGGAGUUAACUAUAAUUAAAUUAAUUAUAAUUAAAAGUAUACAUAUAUGAUAUUGUAACAAUCAUAUGAAAUCCUCUAACAUGCAAACCCAACUAAUUCUUUAAGGUGACCAAGACUAAUGACAAUUGCACUAAAUAAUGGGGAGAAAAAUGUCAAAUUUCAUUCAAGAAGUAGAUGUUAAAAUUCUUUGACUUGUGAAAAUGUCCUACAUUAAAUAAUUUUUCUGGAUGGACAAAUCAAUCCUACUUACUUAAUAAACUAUGUUAAUAGUCAAUAUUAACAGAAUUUUCAAACAAAUGGGAGUUAAAGUACCUGGUCGGAAACUAAAUAUCUGUCACCAAGUAAGGAGUUUUACUAAGCAUCACAAAGUGGGGUAGUGAACUCUCAUUCUGGCCACUAUCUUAGAACAUCACUUGGAAACGUGCAUACUCAGUAGUGAUAUGAAAAGAGAAUAUACAUGCCAUUUAAAAAUAAUUUUAUGAACUUAACUUCAAAAGUACUUUCGAAUUGUUGAAGCUAUUUUCUGGAAUGUUAAAAAAUCUGAAUACUGAACAUCAAAAGAAAUAUGGAUUAAAACAAUUGCUGACCA